rnacentral:rRNA from 1 species
AGGACGAACGCUGGCGGCGUGCCUAAAACAUGCAAGUCGAACGGGGUCUUCGGACCCAGUGGCGAACGGCGGAGUAAUACGUGAGCAACGUGCCCGAAAGACUGGGAUAGUCAUUGGAAACGAUGGGUAAUACCAGAUGUUGACUUUGUCUGGCAUCAGAUAAAGUUGAAAAGGUUUUUCGCUUUCGGAGCGGCUCACGGCCUAUCAGGUAGUUGGUGGGGUGAAGGCCUACCAAGCCGACGACGGGUAGCGGGUCUGAGAGGAUGACCCGCUCGAGUGGGACUGAGACACGGCCCACACACCUACGGGUGGCAGCAGUUGGGAAUCUUGCACAAUGGGGGAAACCCUGAUGCAGCGACGCCGCGUGGAGGAUGGACGGGUCUAGGCCUGUAAACUCCUUUUUUCGGGAAAGUACUUAGGACGGUACCCGAAGAAUAAGCACCGGCUAACUACGUGCCAGCAGCCGC